ACCCGUGUAGCCUAAUGGAUAAGGCGUCGGUAUCCUAAUCCAAAGUAUGCGGGUUCGAGUCCUGCCACAGGUG
rnacentral:tRNA from 1 species